CGGGCUGGGGGCAACUCCAGUCAGUGGCGAACGGGUGAGUAAUGCAUCGGAACGUGUCCCGUAGUGGGGGAUAACCCAGCGAAAGCUGGGCUAAUACCGCAUAUGCUCUACGGAGGAAAGUGGGGGACCGCAAGGCCUCACGCUAUGGGAGCGGCCGAUGUCCGAUUAGCUUGUUGGUGGGGUAAUGGCCUACCAAGGCGACGAUCGGUAGCUGGUCUGAGAGGAUGAUCAGCCACACUGGGACUGAGACACGGCCCAGACUCCUACGGGAGGCAGCAGUGGGGAAUUUUGGACAAUGGGGGCAACCCUGAUCCAGCCAUGCCGCGUGCGGGAAGAAGGCCUUCGGGUUGUAAACCGCUUUUGGCCGGGAAGAAAAGGCACGGGCUAACACUCCGUGUUCUUGACGGUACCGGC
rnacentral:rRNA from 1 species